rnacentral:rRNA from 1 species
UGGGGAAUUUUGCACAAUGGGCGCAAGCCUGAUGCAGCGACGCCGCGUGAGGGAUGAAGGCCUUCGGGUUGUAAACCUUUUUCGCUCAUGGUCAAGCCGCAGCUUUGGGUUGUGGUGAGGGUAGUGGGUAAAGAAGCGCCGGCUAACUACGUGCCAGCAGCCGCGGUAAUACGUAGGGCGCGAGCGUUGUCCGGAAUUAUUGGGCGUAAAGAGCUUGUAGGCGGUUCGUCGCGUCUGGUGUGAAAGCCCAUCGCUUAACGGUGGGUUUGCGCCGGGUACGGGCGGGCUAGAGUGCAGUAGGGGAGACUGGAAUUCCCGGUGUAACGGUGGAAUGUGUAGAUAUCGGGAAGAACACCAAUGGCGAAGGCAGGUCUCUGGGCUGUUACUGACGCUGAGAAGCGAAAGCGUGGGGAGCGAACAGG